rnacentral:rRNA from 1 species
UACAGAGGUCCCGAGCGUUGUUCGGAUUCACUGGGCGUAAAGGGUGCGCAGGUGGCUUGACAAGUUUGAUGUGAAAUCUCCGGGCUCAACCCGGAAAAUGCAUUGAAUACUGUUGAGCUUGAGGUUUGGAGGGGGGACUGGAAUUCUCGGUGUAGCAGUGAAAUGCGUAGAUAUCGAGAGGAACACCAGUGGCGAAGGCGAGUCCCUGGACAACACCUGACACUGAGGCACGAAAGCCGGGGGAGCAAAC